rnacentral:rRNA from 1 species
UGGGGAAUUUUGGACAAUGGGGGCAACCCUGAUCCAGCCAUCCCGCGUGUGUGAUGAAGGCCUUCGGGUUGUAAAGCACUUUUGGCAGGAAAGAAACGCGAUGGGUUAAUACCCCGUGAAACUGACGGUACCUGCAGAAUAAGCACCGGCUAACAACGUGCCAGCAGCCGCGGUAAUACGAAGGGUGCAAGCGUUAAUCGGAAUUACUGGGCGUAAAGCGUGCGCAGGCGGUUCGGAAAGACAGAUGUGAAAUCCCAGAGCUCAACUUGGGAACUGCAUUUUUAACUACCGGGCUAGAGUGUGUCAGAGGGGGGUGGAAUUCCGCGUGUAGCAGUGAAAUGCGUAGAUAUGCGGAGGAACACCGGUGGCGAAGGCAGCCUCCUGGGAUAGCACUGACGCUGAUGCACGAAAGCGUGGGGAGCAAACAGG